rnacentral:tRNA from 1 species
GUCAGGAUGGCCGAGCGGUCUAAGGCGCCAGACUCAAGGUGAAAAUCCUUCCUGGAAAGGGGCAUUCUGGUCUCUGCAUGGAGGCGUGGGUUCGAAUCCCACUUCUGACA